AGUGAAGUGCCUGAGUAAAGGGUAAUUUUGAUAGAAUUAAUAACGUGAUCUACACCUUCAUUA
rnacentral:tRNA from 1 species